rnacentral:lncRNA from 1 species
ACUUUUUAUUUUCUAAAAAAUAACAUAAUAUGCUUUAAAAUUGACAACAUUCACUCAAGUAGUACAGUAAGUAGUGGUUUUGGCUGAGUUGUGAUUUAAUUAUGUAACAACCCUGUUUUCUGAUGUGUAAAAUGGACCCACCACCAUCCUCUCAGCACCUAUGUGAUGGCAUCAGGAUAAAGUCAACAUUAAAUAAAAUUGUAAGUUCUGAAGCGGUUAAGUACCAAAUGCAAACUACUAUUAACUGUGACUGACAGGAACCUUAAACAUCCAAGUAGACUAACUUGGUUUUAAGUCAUCUUUAUUAGAUGUACAUACAAGUUUUCAAGUGGUUAAAAAUGUUUCUCAAAUUUACAACUUAUGUAAAUUCUUUGUUAAAUUUCCCAUUGUUGGUUACAGUUUCUGGUUUUG